UUUGCAAGGUGACUGAACAUUUGGGCCUGUGUUUCUUCCCCGAUAAUCUACAGAGCCUCUUCACUGAAAUAGAAUUCAAAACUCAUGCUGCGACUCUGCAAUAUUGUUCACUGCAAGAAACUAUUUUGUUCUGCCUCAGAGGCAAUACAUUUUUAUGUUUAAUUUUGCCCUGGGUAUAUACAACACUUGUUUAUGUCCUUAAAAUGUCUUUUAAAGAGAUUGAUUUCAAUGCCUCUCUAGUAAAUCCAGCUAUGAAGAUU
rnacentral:lncRNA from 1 species